CUAUCUACAGGCUUAACACAUGCAAGUCGAGGGGCAGCAUGGUCUUAGCUUGCUAAGGCCGAUGGCGACCGGCGCACGGGUGAGUAACGCGUAUCCAACCUGCCUUACACUCUUGGACAGCCUUCUGAAAGGGAGAUUAAUACAAGAUGUUAUCAUGAGUAAGCAUUUUCGCAUGAUUAAAGGUUUACCGGUGUAUGAUGGGGAUGCGUUCCAUUAGAUAGUAGGCGGGGUAACGGCCCACCUAGUCUUCGAUGGAUAGGGGUUCUGAGAGGAAGGUCCCCCACAUUGGAACUGAGACACGGUCCAAACUCCUACGGGAGGCAGCAGUGAGGAAUAUUGGUCAAUGGACGAGAGUCUGAACCAGCCAAGUAGCGUGAAGGAUGAAGGUUCUAUGGAUUGUAAACUUCUUUUAUACGGGAAUAAACGGAUCCACGUGUGGAUUUUUGCAUGUACCGUAUGAAUAAGGAUCGGCUAACUCCGUGCCAGCAGCCGCGGUAAUACGGAGGAUCCGAGCGUUAUCCGGAUUUAUUGGGUUUAAAGGGAGCGUAGAUGGGUUGUUAAGUCAGUUGUGAAAGUUUGCGGCUCAACCGUAAAAUUGCAAUUGAUACUGGCAGUCUUGAGUACAGUUGAGGUAGGCGGAAUUCGUGGUGUAGCGGUGAAAUGCUUAGAUAUCACGAAGAACUCCGAUUGCGAAGGCAGCUUACUAACCUGUAACUGACAUUGAUGCUCGAAAGUGUGGGUAUCAAACAGGAUUAGAUACCCUGGUAGUCCACACGGUAAACGAUGAAUACUCGCUGUAGGCGAUAUACAGUCUGCGGCCAAGCGAAAGCAUUAAGUAUUCCACCUGGGGAGUACGCCGGCAACGGUGAAACUCAAAGGAAUUGACGGGGGCCCGCACAAGCGGAGGAACAUGUGGUUUAAUUCGAUGAUACGCGAGGAACCUUACCCGGGCUUAAAUUGCAACCGAAUAUGGCGGAAACGCUAUAGCUAGCAAUAGCGGUUGUGAAGGUGCUGCAUGGUUGUCGUCAGCUCGUGCCGUGAGGUGUCGGCUUAAGUGCCAUAACGAGCGCAACCCUUGCCGAUAGUUACUAACAGGUUAUGCUGAGGACUCUGUCGGGACUGCCAUCGUAAGAUGUGAGGAAGGUGGGGAUGACGUCAAAUCAGCACGGCCCUUACGUCCGGGGCUACACACGUGUUACAAUGGGGGGUACAGAGGGCUGCUACCACGCAAGUGGAUGCCAAUCCCAAAAACCUCUCUCAGUUCGGAUUGAAGUCUGCAACCCGACUUCAUGAAGCUGGAUUCGCUAGUAAUCGCGCAUCAGCCACGGCGCGGUGAAUACGUUCCCGGGCCUUGUACACACCGCCCGUCAAGCCAUGGGAGCCGGGGGUACCUGAAGUGCGUAACCGCAAGGAGCGCCCUAGGGUAAAACUGGUGACU
rnacentral:rRNA from 1 species